UAACUCAAAGGACUUGGCGGUGCUUUAAUUCAACUAGGGGAACCUGUCCCUUAAAUCGAUAACCCACGAAAACCUUACCUACUCUAGAAAUAUAAAAUAUUUAAUAUUUAAUAUCAGCUUGUAUACCAUCGUCGUCAGCUGGUGUAUAAAAAAACAAAAACCAGCAAAAAGAAUAAAUUUUAUUUUAAAAACUAAAACCCUUUAAGACAGAUCAAGGUGCAGCUUAUGGAUAGGGGUGAGAUGGGUUACAAUUUUCUAAUUUAAAUUGAAUUUUUUUAUUGAAACAAAAAAAAGAAACUGUACUUAGAAGUAAUUUUUUUAAAAAAUAAAAAAAUGAAUAGGAGAUAAAGCGCGUACAAAUCGCCCGUCACUCU
rnacentral:rRNA from 1 species